rnacentral:lncRNA from 1 species
GUUUUUAUAUUGUUUUAGUAGUCCAACACAGCAUGUCAACUUCUCUGUUUCUAAUCAAGAAAUACAAUCCUGCAAGAUAACUUAGCCUACAUUAACAAACAUGGUUGCUUCUUUUUCUGCUGCUUCAAUAAUAUAUAUACUAAUAAUAAUAUAAUGAGUAGAUAGCAGAGCUAAUUUAAUACUGCAUAUUAACACUAAGUACCGAGUUUCUACAACCAAGAUCAUCUGGUAAACUAGUGUCACCCGCUAAUAUCAUACAACAGAAUGGGUGGCAAUUCUGUUCCGGUUAUCUUGCACGCUCCUAGCAGUUGAUGCCACACAUUUGGAUAUCUGGCCCAGUGACUCUUGUGGUGAACGGGUCAAUGCGAACCCACAGCAAGGAGAAGAUGGAUGCUAGAAGUAUGGCCCAGACGACAACGAUGGUCGGCGUGCGGUUCUGCCGUCCCAUGAGUCCCUUGAGGAAUGGGUACAAGUGGAUAAUCACCCAGAAGGCAAAGAAGAGCUUCCCGAAAAGUGGGCCCCAUGACUGAUAGCCGCUGUUGAUCGCGUAGGAGGUACCAGCCACAACUCCGACAAGGUUGAUGAUCAAGAUAGUUGUUGGUGGGAUCAGAAGAGUCGUCCACUUGAACAUGUAGAGCUCGGCAAAAUCAUUAUCUUCAUCGGAUGCUUUUGAAGUGACAGUGAAGCUGGUGUCGAUACCCGCAAGUACCUUCAGGAGACCUUGGAAGACAGCAAAUAGAUGUGCAGAAAUGCCUCCGAUGACCCAGAACUGUUCAUUCCUCCACCACUCGUCGAUGCCAACACCACUCCACCUCAUCUCAAGGAUACCAGUGGCGAAGAUCGAAAUAAAGAGAGAGAUAAACCAAAUACUGGCAAUGUUGCUAAUCUGCAUUUCAAUAUGUAGUGAGUAUAAAUAUUUUUACAGUUUUGUACACGCAAGAGCAAAGACUGAGCCGGGUUUUACCUGUGGGAUGAUGAACUUUCCCGUGAGAAGACAAACAGCUGGUAAUAUGCAGUAUAUGAGGAGCGGUAUUGAUGUGAGUGGGUAGAUAGUGGUGUUGAUGUAAGCAAAUCUCUCCAGGAAUUUAAGCCGUCCGCCAUAGCCAUACCAUAUGGGACAAUGCCUACUGAAAAGAAUUUCCACCGAACCAAGCGCCCACCGAAGCACUUGGUUCAGACGAUCUGAAAGGUUGAUGGGGGCAGACCCCUUGAAAGCUGGUCGCUUAGGCAUGCAGUAGAUUGACCGCCAGCCGCGUGCAUGCAUCUUGAACCCGGUAAGAAUAUCUUCUGUAACAGAACCAUAGAUCCAACCAAUCUGCAAAACACAACAGGAAGAUUACAGAUACGAAGCAAAAAAAAAAAAACAGGUUUGAAGCCAACAAUAAAUAGAUCAUCUCAGAGAUACGACCACAAAGAACAUUCAUGAAUUUAGAUUUAGUUUCUUCUAACGNNNNNNNNNNNNNNNNNNNNNNNNNNNNNNNNNNNNNNNNNNNNNNNNNNNNNNNNNNNNNNNNNNNNNNNNNNNNNNNNNNNNNNNNNNNNNNNNNNNNNNNNNNNNNNNNNNNNNNNNNNNNNNNNNNNNNNNNNNNNNNNNNNNNNNNNNNNNNNNNNNNNNNNNNNNNNNNNNNNNNNNNNNNNNNNNNNNNNNNNNNNNNNNNNNNNNNNNNNNNNNNNNNNNNNNNNNNNNNNNNNNNNNNNNNNNNNNNNNNNNNNNNNNNNNNNNNNNNNNNNNNNNNNNNNNNNNNNNNNNNNNNNNNNNNNNNNNNNNNNNNNNNNNNNNNNNNNNNNNNNNNNNNNNNNNNNNNNNNNNNNNNNNNNNNNNNNNNNNNNNNNNNNNNNNNNNNNNNNNNNNNNNNNNNNNNNNUUCUUCUAACGAGCUCACAUGUGAAAUCUUUAGUUCUGUAAACCAGAACAAGAAACUUGACUUGAUCAUCAAAAAAAAAAUUGGAACACCAGUUGAUAUAAGAAAAAUGCUGGUAUUAUAGAGUGUACAACUUAAUUACCUCCCUUCCCCAGUCACUUCUGUCCUCAUAACCACAGCUGAUGACAUGGAUUGCUUCUUUCAGAAGAGACUCUGGAGUUGCAGACUGGGGAACACCACCGUACUCCAUUAGAGUGGAGGCUACGAAAACACUGGACUGGCCAAAUCUCUUCUCCAGGCUCAUUUGAGACAUAAGAAGUGAUUUCUCGUCGUCAAAUCCAGAACCUAUUAUACGAAUAGCACUCAGGUAAGAAAGAUAUGUAGCCCUGUCCUACCUACCCUAGUCAAAAAAAAAAAGCUACGCUGACUAGCGACUACAGACAAAACAAAUUGAGCAAUGGUUGUUAUAGAGCAAAGAUACCUUCGAUACCCUCCUCUAUAUCUUCAAGAUUGAACACUGGCACGGAACCGUCCGCAUGCUUAUCUGACUUCUUACUUCCUGUGCUCUUCGAUUUUGAGGUCCUACCCCCACAAAGCUUAGAGAAUAAACCUGACUCCUUGUUCUUCAUGGGGGGUUCAUAACCAUAUAAAGCUGUUCUGUUGAACACACAACCAGUCCCCACAUAAACUGGUCCUUGGAUGCCAUCGAGACCCCUCAAGUUAAUCUGCAGCAAACAGAUACAGGUAAGUUACAGAUCAUUGCCAAACAAAUUUUAAGAAAAAGCUCAUCCAGCAACAAUAUUAACAACAGUGGUUCAUUAAAACUACUUGGUGCCAGUGAGAUAAGAAAGUGAUAAGCACAAGAACUUACAUCAAAAAAUACGGUGUUCCUGUUUGCAUAUCUAUCAUUCGUAUCAAUUCCAUCGAACCUCUGAGGAAACUGGACAUAACAGAUUUUCCUCCCUAGAUUAGGGUCCAUAAGAAAGCACAUAGCCUCUCUUAGAGCGCUGCUAUUGUUGAUGUAGUGAUCACAAUCAAGAUUCAACAUGUACUGCCCAUUAGUAAGGACAGCUGAUACACGAACCUGCAGAAAGCAUUCCACUUCCAUUACACCCAGGUAAUCAAAGUAUAUAAGGCAACUUACGACUUCGGUGUUUAACUACUCACAAGUGCAUUCAUGGCACCAGCUUUCUUGUGGUGCUGGAAUCCAGCACGUUUCUCACGAGACACAUAAACCAAACGGGGAAGCUCAUUGCCGUCACUAUCAAGGCCUCCACUAUGACCAAGGAAAACCUGAACAUGACCAGAAACUUAAGUUAGAAAAUGGUUACCAUAAUAACCAGUCCUGCUGGCAGAUCCAGCUCUUAAUCAAGUAACCUGACCUGAAGCAUUCCAGGAUGGUCCCUGGUAUUGUUCCCAGGCCAAGGUGUGCCAUCUUGCAUGAUCCAUCCUUCCUCAGGAACUUUCUCGGCCUUGGCUACAAGGCUAUUAACACGAACUUUGAACUCUUCAUAUUCUCUCUGUGGAGUUUAAUAGAAAUUAAUGUCCUCAAACAGAAACUGGAACAACCAACAAAUAUACACUAAUAAACCAAAAUCUACCUUCAUGGCUCGACGAUCUUUAACGAAUGAAGUCUGAACUUUGUCUUUCAAGAAAUCAAUUUUCUGAGCAAAGUACCACUCUGGUGCUCUGGGUUCUAUGUUAUACUUUUUACAAAACGGUACCCAUUUUCUAGCAAACUCUGAAGUCUCAGCAAGUGCAUCAAAGGUAAGCAUCGCAGCUCCAUCAUCAGAUACAUAGCAAGAUACUUUGUCAACAGGGUAGUCCACAGCAAGGAUAGAAAGCACAGUAUUUGCAGUGACAAGAGGAGGCUCCUUCAUAGGAUCCACAGUACUGACAAAAAUGUCAACAGGAGCCAACUGAGACAACUCACCAUCCCGGUCAUACCUGAUAGUGCAAGUGAUAUACUGUCAGUACUAUGUCAGUAUAAACAUUUCUAUUAGCACUAGAUUUUGCACAUCACCUUAAAGCCAGCCUAUCAAGGUAAGUUUCACGAUUGACUGGAGACCACUUGGGGAACUGAUCCAAAAUCCAGGAAAAAGCAAACCAAAUCUCACAUAUCACGGACAGCAGCCAAAGUGGAUAUGCAUUACGGACAGGGUUUGUGAUACGGUAGUGCAGGAAGAUGCAGAGGACAAUCAAUCGUAGCACAAUGACCAUCCUGUAGGGAUUUAUUCUGGAUGAAGGAAUUGGCACUUUUCUAGACAGAGGCUGGCGAGUUUCAUCAUUCCUGCAAUUCAUAUGGCCCAAGACAAAAGUUAUUGCUGCAAGUCAUAUACAAAAACUAGUAUUUACAGUUUCAGCAAGAUAUGUAUACCCAUUAAGAAUAUGAUCUAGCAAUCUCUGUUCAAAUGCAGGGUUAAUACCAGAAGGUAUUCAAAUAUAAAAGAAACCCACCCAAGCUUACCUCACAUAGAUGUAAAUUAGUCGGAUAGAGCGAACAACACGAAGAUGAAUAAUGGUGUGCAAGAGAAAUUAUAACUCACAGUAAGGGGUCUUCCAUGCCAUAGUCAGUGCAUGCAUCGAUAUCACCAUUUCCACGGCCUUCAGAAGGAGCAAUGCUUGUUCCAUUAGUCAUGGGAAUUGCACCCUUGUCUUUCAUUUUCCAGCCAUCAACUCUCUCUUUCCACGCAACAUUGCCAAGGCUGCCAGAGAACUCCCUUGAUGGAUUUGCUGGAAAUAUUCAGAAGCAUAAAACAACUUCUACAUAUUCACAGUGGGAUGCAAGUAAAACAAAGUACACACAAGUCAUAAUGGUACAUAUAUAUACAUGUGCGAAUGGUACAUAUAUAUACAUACGAGAAUGGUUCACAUAGGCAAAUGGAUGUCCGCGCUUGCCAACAUUUCCAGCAGGGGACAUCAUAUGAUCGGGGGAAGCUCCAGAAAUUUCUCCUGAGACCUGUGCAGACAUAGACGAAACCAAUGUCAGUUUCAUAUUCCCAAAUACUGUUGUCACAAUCAAAACAGGUUGCAACUCCAACCUGGCUAUGAGAGAAGCGCGGGAUGUAUCCAUGAGGGAUUUCUCCACUGUCAUACUUGUGAAGCCCAAUCUCACCGCUGCCGAACUUAGUGAGGCCAAUAUCAUCACUAGCUCCCGAGUUCCUGCGCCAGGUGAGCAUCUUCUCAGGAAUCUUGUUUUUCUGAUCCUGGUUUCCAGAGGCUGGGUAGUUGAAGUCGCUAGCAUCAUCCUCGCUUUCAUCCCCACGUGCUGGUGGGCUACCUAAACAGCACAACACAAGAAGAAUCACAGGUUGAAUUCUCAGCUGCUCCAGCCUUUGGAUGCUACUAGCAUUUUUUUAAUCGGAAUCGCAGUGGAGAGGGGUUGAGUGAGCAGCAGCACGCGUACCCUUGUGGCGCUUGUACUUGGUCUUGCACUGCGGGCAGGCCUGGGUGCCCUCCUUGCGCUCGUACUCGUAGCAGGGCCGGCAGACGGGGAAGGCGCAGACGUCGCAGGCGGCGAAGAGCUCGCCGUUCGCCGCCGCGCCCACGCCGUCGCCGCAGAUCUGGCACACCUGCCCGCCGCCAUGCCUCCCCGUUCCCGAUUUCUGCGCACACGCACCAGAAAAUAAAAAGACGGGAGAGGUGAGUGAGAACAGUCGCCGGAUAAUAAAUCCGCGCACACAGAAAACCCCAACCAAACCCCCCAAAAAACGCCACUCACCGCCGCGUCGCCGCCGCCNNNNNNNNNNNNNNNNNNNNNNNNNNNNNNNNNNNNNNNNNNNNNNNNNNNNNNNNNNNNNNNNNNNNNNNNNNNNNNNNNNNNNNNNNNNNNNNNNNNNNNNNNNNNNNNNNNNNNNNNNNNNNNNNNNNNNNNNNNNNNNNNNNNNNNNNNNNNNNNNNNNNNNNNNNNNNNNNNNNNNNNNNNNNNNNNNNNNNNNNNNNNNNNNNNNNNNNNNNNNNNNNNNNNNNNNNNNNNNNNNNNNNNNNNNNNNNNNNNNNNNNNNNNNNNNNNNNNNNNNNNNNNNNNNNNNNNNNNNNNNNNNNNNNNNNNNNNNNNNNNNNNNNNNNNNNNNNNNNNNNNNNNNNNNNNNNNNNNNNNNNNNNNNNNNNNNNNNNNNNNNNNNNNNNNNNNNNNGACGGCUGCAGUAGUAGCGGCAGGGGCGCCGGUGGAGUCCAGCUCACGCGGAUUGGAGCCGGGGCGAGGGAGGGGACCGGGAGGGCGACGGCGAUGGCGUGUGCGAGGAGGAGGAGCGCGUGAGCCCGUCCGUCCGCGCACUAGUACGUUGUCGCUUGCGCGGCGGGGUUUAGCCAUUUCUAGGGAGCUCCCCUAAUGCGCCGCUUAAUUGCCAUCGGAUUUGGUGGCGGGUUCGCGGUUUUGCGGCGCGGAGAUGGACGAGGAAUUGAGGAUGAUCGGCUGGGCGGGCCCGCGGAGCAGUGGGCGUGGACCGGACGGCGGUCGUUGUGUAAAGAACGGCAGGAAGCGUGACCGGAAUUUCAGAAUUUGGGUGCGGGCGUGGGGCCGGGUGGGCGUGUGUCAGUGCGCGCGCGAGGGGUAGAGACGGGACGACAGCUGGCGAUGAUCGCGCUCGCACGAGGGAAGAGAAACUUGUUGGCUCUUGCUACUACUAGCUGCGCUUGAGCUGUCGAGCAGCGGAGAGACCAGCGUGAGCUCAAGCAUCAUUGCACCUUUUAUUCGAGAAGAAAUGGAGUACAUUGUAAUUCGAAAAUCCAUACUUACUACGUAAUAUUUCUGCGAUGCUCAAUCCACGAUAUUUCUUUGCCAGUUUUGAACAUUUGGGCUCUCCUAUGCAGCGUGCGCGUGGAUCCAUUUCGAGCAGAGUUCCCUUCGUAAGAGCAUCUCCAACUGUCGCGUUAAACAAGCGCCGCGUCGUAAAUUUGAUCAUUUUAGCGUGCGCACAACCCAUCGGGUGUCUCCAGCGGGCGCGCAAUAACCGCGCAUGCGGUGUAAGGAGUUGGGCGCGUUGUUCGAUUCGCUAUCUCGUGCGGUGUAUUUGGGGCGACCGCUUCCGCGCGCGGCACACUUGAGCGCUCGCGCCGCACUCUCUCCUCUCCGCCUCCUACGCCCCGCGCGCGCCGGCGUCGGCGAACCGCACCUCAUGGAUGCACGCGUCGACACCCCGCUCACCCCAUCCUAUAGAUGCGACCCGUCCACCGCCGUCGCCGCCGCCGCAAACCCUAACGCGGGGGGCGUUGGCCUCGCCGCCGCCGGAGCUCCUCCGACCAUCGGCCUCGCGCGCGGCCUCUUCAUGCCGCCGCGGAUGACCUCGGCGGCGGGUGGCGUCGNNNNNNNNNNUCCCCAAUGCGGCGCGACCGAAGAAGGGCAAGGCAUCGGCGAAGAAGAAUAAGGCGCCGGCGAGUCGCGCGCGCUGCAUUUUUUACGCGCUGCUGGAGCGACGCGCGCUGUGCAUUUUAGCGUGGCUGUUGGAGCCAGCGCGGGCGACCGCGCAAAACCAGGCGAACGGCAUCCGGCAAACUAGUUUUCAGCGCGCGGCGCAUAGCGCGGCUGUUGGAGAUGCUCUAAAGGGACCAACACACACAUUCGUUGGCUAGGCUGUUGGAGAUGCUCUAAAGGGACCAACACACACAUUAUUUGGCCGAACUCCUCGUCAACUUGGCUCAAGGAGAAGCUGGAAUCUUAGUGACUUCGAGAUAAACCUGUUCAUGGACAACCCGUCCGAAGCCCGGCCCAAAAGCCUGAAUAAAGCCUGAAAUGUACAUAUAAAUAUAUUUUAUUUGAAAUAUAGGUAUAAUAAAUUAAUAUAAUAUUCAAAAAACAAUUAAUUUAAUUAAAAAUCCACUAUUCAUGUUCUGCGGGCCGGGCCAGGCUCGGGCUUGGGAUUUUUUCUUUAGGCUUUGUCAAGCCUGGCCCGAACCCGACCCGGGCCGACAAAUGAUCAGGUUUACUUCAAGUUAGGUGCAUCUCUACCAGACCUCUUAUAUUCACGUGGAUUGUAAAAAUCUGGCGACUAUACGGAUUUGGCCUGUUUUUUUGGAAUAGACCAAAGCCCGUAUAGUCGCCCCGCCCGCAAAAGAUUUUACGGUGGCCCGCAAACCGCCCCUCUCCCCUCCACGGGGUAUAUCUACGGGUAUGCCACGAGUAUACGGGCCGAAACCAUGUCCCUCCGCCGCGGCGAUUCCCCAAUACCCACUCUGAUUUUUCUCGCCGCCGGUGAGUUUAAAUCCCCCCCCCCCCACCGAUCUGCACCGAUGUGGAGCUCUGGCCGGCGCGGUGGCGGCGGCGGUCGCCGCGGCGAGCACGCGGCCAAGCGCUACACCAACUACGGGUUCCCAGUGUCGGCCGGUGUCCCUACUCCGCCACGAGACGAAGGAGUACGACCGCCGCCAUGCGGGGCGCUUCGACGCGAGGAGCUCUUCCGCCGCGCCACUGCUUCUGGUGGAGAGGGAGCCCGGCGAGCUUCGUCUGCUCCGCGCCGUCAAGAUCGAGUCGGAGGAGGAGCGGUCACGGCGUCAUAUCGGCCCAGAGGACUACCACGCCGGACCCGACGCGAACGCCUUUGAAGCGGCAUCGUCGAGCACACUGCGCGAGUAGGAGAAGGACACGCGUCGCCGGCCGGACGAGGAUCUCAGUGACCUCCUCUUCGAGCAGGCGCUCGCGCCACGCGUGAGUUCGACGCCAAGAAGACAACAUGGCGCCGCGAGCAGGAGGAGCAAGAUAAGAAGUACAUCGAUCUUGUCUCCUCCGGCCAUGACGAGUGAGAGCCGCCGCCGCACCCGGAGAGCUCAUCCGAUUUUGGCUAGUUUAGGGUAGGGCGGCAUCGCGAUGUAGAAUAACUUUCAAAAUGCAGCGAUGAUCAAACUAUGAAUGUAUUAUUUGUUUUUCAUUUCGUCUGGGAAUGCUUUCUUUCAAAAUUUACAGUUUUUAAUACGGCUUUGUUCGGCCGUAGCUGAUUUUAUUCCGCAAAUAUCUGAUUUCUCAGCCUUUAUUCGUGAUAUAAGGGACGCUGAUAUAUGGGAUCUGUUAGAGAUGCUUAAAGUGUCUAUGCCUCUCUAAGAAGAUGUAGAGACACGUGAACAACUUGACCUUGUGGAUAGAUUGCAGUGUCUUCUAUCGCUGACUUUUGUUUUGGCGAAAAGAGGGAUCUACAAGGACCCAAAAGCUGCAUUAUAAUCAUAACAGAUUGCAACAGAACCCAUAACUAUAAGAAAAUAACAAAGUAGUCCCUAACUAUUACAAAAAGCACAAACGAACAAAGAUGGAAAAUGUAAUCGUGUCUAAAGCUUCUUCUCUGCCGGAAUAUCCUCACCGCCGCCGGGGGCAGCACCACUUGGGAUGAGAAGACCCUCGAGUCACCAUGUCAAAGACUCCGAGAAGAAGAAACGUUGCCUCCCAUUAGGCUCCAUGGCAAGGAGGAAAACAAAUAGCCGCCCUUCGACCUGCAGAAACGAUGGCAUGAUGAAACAAGCCGAUAGCCAAACGCCACAGCUAGCGCCAAAGCCGCCGAGAACAGUCACCAGGGUUGUGCUCUAUCCCGAUUAGGACCUCCAUCUCUAUCCACUACGAGCUCACCACCACCGUGACUUAUAAGGUAAGGGCAUCUCCAACAUGAACCAUCAAACCACCCGCAUACGUCUAUAUCGCACGGUCCAAACAUGUUGUGACAUCCAAUGCGGGCCUGUAUCGGUCCGCUGGGUGGUCCGAACGCAUUUUUUCCUGCNNNNNNNNNNNNNNNNNNNNNNNNNNNNNNNNNNNNNNNNNNNNNNNNNNNNNNNNNNNNNNNNNNNNNNNNNNNNNNNNNNNNNNNNNNNNNNNNNNNNNNNNNNNNNNNNNNNNNNNNNNNNNNNNNNNNNNNNNNNNNNNNNNNNNNNNNNNNNNNNNNNNNNNNNNNNNNNNNNNNNNNNNNNNNNNNNNNNNNNNNNNNNNNNNNNNNNNNNNNNNNNNNNNNNNNNNNNNNNNNNNNNNNNNNNNNNNNNNNNNNNNNNNNNNNNNNNNNNNNNNNNNNNNNNNNNNNNGUCUAGAUCGUUGCCAAGCCCGCGUAUGACCACCCUAGCCCACAAAAAUUCCUCACCCGCCUCUCCCGCACUUUCCAUCCAAUGCCCGCGCCGCAUUCAUGUUGGCCAAGGGCAUGCAGCGGCUGACAUUGAUGUUGAGCUACGUGACCAGAUGUGAAGGCGGUGCUGACGGACGCGGCCUCUCAUGCGUCGCCGCUUCAAUGCGGAUGCCGAAUAAACAACUUUUCUCCAAGCCUAUCCUCAGCGUAUAGGGAUGCAGAUAAUCUAAAUCAAAUGGCAUUUGUGGUAAGCUAUCACAAAAAAAUUGAAAAACGUUUACCACUAUAAAUACAUGGCACUGAGUUCUCAAUACAGAAAUAGACAAACAAUUUUGCCAAUGUUUUAGCAGGUACUCAACACUUGGCCAUGAUUCAAAGACAGUUAUAUACCAAAGUUUUGGUCAGGCAAGUAGAACCUUAUUAAACCAAACACACCCAGUUUGUAACUUUGUAUUUCAAUCACUUAAAUUGUGCGAAGUUUGCAGGCAAGCUCUCAUGGCUCCGGCCACGCCAAGAGGAACACGGACUCGAAGAUCGCGCGGUCAUACAGAAUGGGGGAGAUGACGGGGCGGUCUUCAACACGCGUCAGAUCUAGGAGGGCGGAAGAGAUCCCGCCGAUGUAGUUGGAGCAGGCGUCAACUAGUUGUUCGCCGUACACCCCAGCCGCCUCCACCGUCACUAGGGGCUGCACAAUCCGCUGCAUCGUUUGGGCGAGCGGUACUCGGUCAAGACACACGUACACCUCACCGGCGGGGAACCGGCGCGAGGGGCCGAACGGCGUGGCGUGGUUGUAGAGCCCCGCGAUGGCCUCCCUCGCGGCCCUGAGGGAGGUCUCCUCUUUGAGGUUCAUCAGGAGGAGGGAGCGGAGGGCGGGGAUGAUGGCCGAGUAGGGCGCCCAGCUGUGUGCUCCGGCCAUGCCCACGGCCACAGUGGGGCUGUAGACCCCAUGGCAUGCAGGCAUGGAGCGCGAGGAGGCGGCGGCCGCGCGGAUGACACGAGCGACCGGGACGGCAACAUGGAGAGCCACGACGUCGAUGGCGCUAGGACAUGGCCGCUUCGCGCGGGUGACGCGGCUCUGCCCGGGCUCGGCGUCGUCGUCGCCGUCGCUGCGGGCCUCCGACGAGCUGUGACUCAUGGUGGUCGAUGAUGCAACUUCUUCGGCGUGGAAGCAACGAUAUAUAUAGAUCACUCGUCGUCUCGUCUUGAUAUACAUAUAACUCGCGGGAAAUAAAAAGAAUUCAGUUGAGUCAUUCAACAUUUCUCCCUGUUGAGUAUGUUAUCUGUGCAUGUACAUUGACUAGGCUCACCUUUUUAGUUUGUUGUAUAGAUUGAGGUAGAUGCCUCACCUUAUACUUAUAUAUACCGUGCACAUUGCACCGAAUCAAUACAUCGUGCAAUUCAUACAUCCAAUAUAUACCGUGCACAUCCAAUAUGAGGAAUAAAAAAAGAGAAAGGCCAUAAAAAAAGGAGAAGGCCCAAAAAAUGAGAGAAAAAGAGAGAAGGGACAAUGUUACUAUCCUUUGCCACACUGUGCUUCAAAGCAGCACCGUAAUCUUCAUGUUAGAGAGUCUCUUGUUUUGUCAUUUUCAUAUACUAGUGGGAAAUUUUUAUUAUAGAACUUGGCUUGUAUAUUUCAACAAUGGGCCUCCUCAAGUGCCCUAGGUCUUCAUGAGCAAACAAGUUGGAUGCACACCCACUAGUUUUUUUUUGUUGAGCUUUCAUAUAUUUAUAGCUCUAGUGCAUCCGUUGCAUGACAAUCCCUACUCCUUGCAUUAACAUCAAUUGGUGGGCAUCUCCAUAGCCCAUUGAUUAGCCUUGUUGAUAUAAGACUUUUUCCUUUUUGUCUUCUCCACAUAACCCCCCUCAUUAUAUUCUAUUUCACCCAUAGUGCUAUGUUCAUGGUUCACGCUCAUAUAUUGCUUGAAAAUUUAUAGGUUUGAGAUUACUAAAGUAUGAAACAAUUGCUUGGCUUGUCAUCGGAGUUGUGCAUGAUGAGAGCAUUCUUGUGUGACAAAAAAGAAACAUGACUAAACCAUAUGAUUUUGUAGGGAUGAACUUUUUUUGGCCAUGUUAUUUUGAGAAGACAUAAUUGCUUAGUUAGUAUGCUUAAAGUAUUAUUAUUUUUAUGUCAAUAUGAACUUUUGUCUUGAAUCUUUCAGAUCUGAAUAUUCAUAUCACAAUUAAGAAGAAUUACAUUAAAAUUAUGCCAAGUAGCACUCCGCAUCAAAAAUUCUGUUUUUAUCAUUUACCUACACGAGGACGAGCAGGAAUUAAGCUUGGGGAUGCUUGAUACAUCUCCAACGUAUCUAUAAUUUUUGAUUGCUCCGUACUAUAUUAUCUACUGUUUUGGACAUUAUUGGGCUUUAUUAUACACUUUUAUAUUAUUUUUAGGACUAACCUAUUAACCGGAGGCCCAACCUAGAAUUGCUGUUUUUUGCCUGUUUUAGGGUUUCAAAGAAAAGGAAUAUCAAACGGAGUCCAAAGGAAAUGAAACCUUUGGGAACGUGAUUUUCUCAACGAACAAGACCCGGGAGACUUAGACCUUACGUCAAGAAAGGAAACAGGAGGCCACGAGGUAGGUGGGGCGCGCCUACCCCCCAGGCGCGCCCUCCACCCUUGUGGGCCCCCUGUUGCUCCAUCGACGUACUCCUUUUUCCUAUAUAUACCUACGUACCCCAAACGAUAAAAAAAAUGGAUCCAAAAACCUAAUUCCACCGCCGCAACUUUCUGUAUCCAUGAGAUCCCAUCUUGGGGCCUGUUUCGGAGCUCCGCCGGAGGGGGCAUCGAUCACGGAGGGCUUCUACAUCAACACCAUAGCCUCUCUGAUGAAGUGUGAGUAGUUUACCUCAGACCUACGGGUCCAUAGUUAUUAGCUAGAUGACUUCUUCUCUCUUUUUGGAUCUCAAUACAAUGUUCUCCCCCUCUCUUGUGGAGAACUAUUCGAUGUAAUCUUCCUUUUGCGGUGUGUUUGUUGAGACCGAUGAAUUGUGGGUUUAUGAUCAAGUCUAUCUAUGAAUAAUAUUUGAAUCUUCUCUGAAUUCUUUUAUGUAUGAUUGGUUAUCUUUGCAAGUCUCUUCGAAUUAUCAGUUUGGUUUGGCCUACUAGAUUGAUGUUUCUUGCAAUGGGAGAAGUGCUUAGCUUUGGGUUCAAUCUUGCGGUGUCCUUUCCCAGGACAGUAGGGGCAGCAAGGCACGUAUUGUAUUGUUUUGCAUCGAAGAUAACAAAAUGGAGUUUUCUUCAUAUUGCAUGAGUCUAUCCCUCUACAUCAUGUCAUCUUGCUUAAGGCAUUACUCUGUUUCUAACUUAAUACUCUAGAUGCAUGCUGGAUAGUAGUCGAUGAGUGGAGUAAUAGUAGUAGAUGCAGGCAGGAGGCGGUCUACUUGUCUCGGACGUGAUGCCUAUAUACAUGAUCAUAACUACAUAUUCUCAUAACUAGCUCAAUUCUGUCAAUUGCUCAACAGUAAUUUGUUCAUCCACCGUAGAAUACUUAUGCUCUCGAGAGAAGCCACUAGUGAAACCUAUGGCCCCGGGGUCUAUCUUUAUCAUAUUAAUCGCCUACUACUUAGUUAUUUCCUUUGUUAUUUCCUUUGCCUUUAUUUUACUUUGCAUCUUUAUCAUAAAAAUACCAAAAAUAUUAUCUUAUCAUAUCUAUCAGAUCUCACUCUCGUAAGUGGACUUAUAGGGAUUGACAACCCCUAUUUGCGUUGGUUGCGAGGAUUUAUUUGUUUUGUGUAGGUACGAGGGACUCGCGUGUAGCCUCCUACUGGAUUGAUACCUUGGUUCUCAAAAACCGAGGGAAAUACUUACGCUACUUUGCUGCAUCAUCCCUUCCUCUUCGGGGAAAACCAACGCAGUGCUCAAGAGGUAGCAUUCGCCUUCCGUUUAAUAACUCCACCACCAUAGCUUCUUUUCCUUUUCAGUUGAUUCAUAGCUGUGUGUGGACCUCUCCGGUUCCUAGUAAUUCAGGCUAUUUGUAUUAUCUGGUUAUUCUUGAUGAUUAUUCUCACUAUGUGUGGAUGUUUCCUUUACGAUAAAAGUCGGAUACACUCUCCACUUUGUCGGCCUUUUACUCCUAUGUCAGCACGCAGUUUGGGCGUCCCAUCCUUGCUCUUCAGACUGACAAUGGAAAAGAGUUCGACAAUCUUGCUUUCCGCACUUUUCUGUCGCACCACGACACAGUUUUUCGUCUCACUUGCCCAUAUACUUCAUAGCAGAACGAUCGAGCCGAACGCGUCCUUCGCACUCUGAAUGACUGCGUUCGGACGCUCUUGUUCCACGUUAAUGUGCCGCCCCGUUUCUGGCCGGAUGCACUCGCUACUGCUUCACUUCUCCUUAACCUUCGCCCUUGCCGCCCACGGUGGAACUAUGCACCUCACCACCUUCUCUUCGGUACGCCCCCAUCUUAUGAUGCCUUGCGUAUUUUCGGGUGCCUUUGCUAUCCUAGCACUGCGGACUCCGCUCCUCACAAACUCGCACCUCGUUCUGUCGCUUGCAGCUUCAUCGGCUACCCUUCCAACUCCAAGGGAUAUCGGCGCUACGAUCCCGUCUCCCACCGUGUGUUCACUUCUCGGCAUGUUUACUUUGAUGAGCAUGUGUUUCCGUUUCAGCAGGUACCUCCGGCUGUUCCUCCUGCCACUGGUGACGCGGGCUCCUCGACGCCGCUCCUAGGGCGUUCGCGCGCCUCUCUUGGCCCGCCCCUAGCUUUGAGGCGCGCCGCCCGCAUGCGGCGCCUCCUACAGCCACGGCCCUGGCACCCGCGCCCCCCCGGCGCCCCCGGCCCCCUCGGCACUCCCGCCCCCCGUGCCUCCGGCACUUGUGGCCGGUCCGGUCACCCACGCUCGUACGGGAGUUUUUCGCCAGAGCUCGCACUACGCCGCGGAUGACUACGUCCAUGCGGCGUCCACCUAUAAGCCGUCGCCCUUGCCAUCCUCCGUCCGAGCCGCUCUUCGUGACCCGCUCUGGAUGGCUGCGAUGCAAGAGGAGUUUGACGCCCUGUUGCGCAACCGGACAUGGCAGCCUGUUCCCCGUCCCCGGCACGCCAACGUGAUUACCGGGAAGUGGGUCUUCAAACACAAGCUCCGUCCUGAUGGUACUUUUGAUUGCUAUAAAGCGCGCUGGGUUGUUUGGGGCUUCAGACAGCAUGCUGACAUCGACUUCACCGACACCUUCGCCCCGGUCGUCAAGCCCGGCACUAUUCGCACAGUUCUUCACCUUGCGGCCUCCCGUGCUUGGCCGGUCCACCAGAUGGACGUCUCCAACGCCUUCCUCCAUGGUCACCUCAAGGAGCAGGUCUUCUGCCAGGAGCCCACUGGGUUUGUUGACCCGACACUUCCUGACCAUGUGUGCCUGCUCUCGCGGUCCUUGUAUGGACUCAAGCAGGCUCCGCGCGCUUGGUACAAGCGCAUCGCGACAUUUCUCCACUAACUUGGGUUUCGCUCUACCCGCUCGGACGCCUCGCUCUUCGUCUAUCAUUAGGGCUCCGACACGGCCUACUUGCUGCUCUAUGUCGACGACAUCAUCCUGACGGCAUGUACGGCUGGUCUCCUCAGUCAUCUCACGACUCGUCUUUGCGCUGAGUUCGCCAUCAAGGACUUGGGUCCUUUGCACUACUUCCUCGUUGUCGAGGUGGUGCGCCAUCCGGCUGGCUUCUUCCUCCAUCAGCGGAAGUAUGCUCAUGAGCUCCUGGAGCGCGCCGGCAUGCUUCACUGCAAGCCCGCCGCUACGCCUGUUGAUACGAAGGCCAAACUUUCUGCCACGGAUGGUUCUCCUGCUUCAGAUGCUGCUUUCUAUCGGUCUAUCGUUGGUGCUCUUCAGUACCUCACCCUGACUCGACCGGAGAUCCAGUAUGCCGUGUAGCAGGUGUGUCUUCAUAUGCAUGCUCCUCGAGACGUCCACUGGGCUGUUGUCAAGUGGAUUCUCCGCUAUGUCUCUAGCACUAUGGAUCUUGGCCUCACGCUCCACGCGUCCGCUGACACCACCCUUACCGCCUACUCCGAUGCAGACUGGGCGGGCUGUCCUGACUCUCGUCGCUCCACUUCAGGCUAUUGUGUCUACCUUGGACCCUCAAUUAUCUCGUGGUCGUCCAAGCGGCAGCCUAUGAUCUCUCGCUCCAGUGCCGAGGCUGAGUAUCAUGCGGUGGCCAACGCCGUUGCCGAGUGUUCGUGGCUUCGCCAGCUGCUUCAGGAGCUUUCCUGCCCUGUUUACCGUGCCACGGUGGUCUACUGCGACAAUGUCUCGGCGGUCUACCUCUCCGCUAACCCGGUACAUCAUCGCCGGACCAAGCAUAUUGAGUUGAAUAUUCACUUUGUUCGGGAACAGGUGGCUCUUGGCCAUAUUCGUGUUUUACACGUCCCUACUUCCUAAUAAUUUGCCGAUAUCAUGACCAAGGGCUUGCCUACGGCAUCUUUUGAGGAGUUUCGGUCCAGUCUUUGUGUCUGCCGCGGUGCCGCUUCGACUGCGGGGGGGGGGGGUUGUUGAGUAUGUUAUCUGUGCAUGUAUAUUGACUAGGCCCACCUCUUUAGUUUGUUGUAUAGAUUGAGGUAGAGGCCCCACCUUGUACUUAUAUAUACCAUGUACAUUGCACCGAAUCAAUACAUCGUGCAAUUCAUACGUCCAAUACUCCCCUUUGAUUAGUUUUGAGAUCAUCGGUGAAACCUAGAGAAGAGAGUUUGGCAUAGACGCCUAAGGUUAUGGGAGAAAAACGAGCGGAAGUCUUUGGCCACGUCGCGAUCGUCUCACACAAGUUGCAUGAUAAUAAUACAUAUCUGUGCUGCUGGUUAGGCAUCGUGCUAAGUGCUAACAGGCAAAACAGUUUUUAAAAGAUUCUUGUUUUGACAUUUUCAAAAUGACUAGUUCUUGUAGCAAUUUUCAAAACAUGCAAAUUCGCCAAAAAUAAAAAGAAAUAAAUCAUCGUUGUUUGUGACGCGUUGGCCCAGCCGGCUCAAGCAUCGUCAUUGUUUAUGACGCGCCGGCCUAGCCGGCUCAAGCCGAAGGUAAGCUGGGGUUGAGAGCAUCUCCACUCGUUUGCCCCCUCCCCCUAGGAGGCAUUUUUUUUGCCGCUUGAGGGGCUGCCUGCGAAAAUUUUGGCCGGGGGGGGGGGGCAAAAAUUUUCACUCGUUGCGCCCCCAGGAGCAGUGUUGGUGUUGGUGCGCUACAGUGAUGGUGCGGGGGCGAGGCUGUCGAGCAGGCGGCGGACCGGUGGGGGCCAGCGUGGGAGGCAAGGAGUGGAUGAGCGGGGGCGCGGGCUUCGUCCCGGGCACAGGAGCACGUAGGCCAUCUCGACGCUCCCCUUCACCUCCUCGAGCUCCUUCUUCGCCAUGCCCACCAUUCCCGGCGUGCUGCUCGCCGCUGACGUCUGUUUAUCCUCCUCCACGCUUCCACCUUCGACCACGCACGCGAACAGCUCGACCCUGAGGGUCGCGAGAUGCUCGGAAGCCACGGCCACUUGGGACUCGAGGUUGCCGGCCGCAGCCAGCUCAUCCUGUAGCCUCUGCACCUCCAUCUCAGCUUCCUCCAGCUGGUUCUACCACCACACCUUGUCCUCCCGCCACACCAGCGCCAGCCUCAUCCUCCUCUCCUCCGCCGCAUCAUGGGCGGCGCGCGCGGACUCCAGCUCGGCCCAGAGCACCUCGAACUCCCCGGCAGCCUCCCUCAGGGCCUCGGCGGCCUCAACCGCCUUGCUAGCCAUGCCCCACACACGCGCCGUUGCGGCGCUGGCCUCCUCCGCGACGGCGUCCCACUCCUUCUUGAAUCUUCACGUGCGCCUGGCUUCUUUGCCGUUGCCAGUGGGAGAGCUCGGCGGCGGGAAGCAGCGCUGGGAGGAGGAAGCGGACGGGGAGAGAGAAGGUGGGGAAGGAGAUAUGUGGCUGCAGGUGGGCCACAUCAUGCAAAAAAUAGCGCCGGCCUUCCCAGCUGGCCCCAGGGGCCUUGGUUUGGGGUGGGUUUGCCGGGCCAAUUUUACUCAAAUCCGACGAAAAACAAGGCUUUGGAAAUGUGAGUGGAGCAUUUUUAUAUCGCCGGGGCUAAAAAGGUGGUCAUGGGGGUGUUCUUGGGGGGACGGAUGGAGAUGCUCUGAGCCUAAUUCUUCGGCUCACCGUAGCUCGGCUCUAGGAACGGCAAGCUCAGGCCUAAGUCUGGCUCACCUCGGCUUGUGUCAAUCCUUAGAUGUACGUAGGCGACAUAGGAAAGAAUGACUCAUCACGGUAUGCCCAUUUUACUAACUAGAUGAUGCCCGCACGUUGUUGCGCGGAUAUUUUGCAUAUAUUUCAUUGAUAUUUGAACUGUAAAUACAUAUGUUUUAGGACGCCGGUAAUGCUCACACGUGUAGGCGUUAACGAGUCUGGCCACACAUUUUGUGUGGUGUGUAAGAGAACCAUCCCACAUGUGGGAAAAACAAGUAAUGCCCACACGUCUCUUUUUUUGCCUCGUGGUCCCUACCACAUGUCUACGUGUGGGUAAAAUAGAUAACGCCCACACGCCCAUAUGUCAAGCCUCCUACCUCAUGGUCUUGCACGCCCCGCGUGACAGUCACCAUGCAUCCUGCAGUUGCCAUGGUCCGGACCCUCUUCCAUGUUCGUUUAACUGCAGUUGCCAUAUUGCUGAACUGCAGUUGCCAUGUCAGACAACUACAAUUGCCAUGGUUGCUCAACUGCAGUUGCCAUCUCAGGUCAAGUGUCAGAUGCCAUUUUUGGACAACUGUAGUUUGCCAUGUGUGGUCUGGUCUACUACAGUUGCCAUGAUUUAAAAUUUUUAGGAGUUUCCACCUACUAACACUAGUCAUUUGACAUGUAGCACGACAACAAGACAUGGCAAAAUAACAUGUUCGGGUAAAGAGAGAGUUGCCAUCUGCUUACAAGCACACUAGGGGCAGUUGUCAUGUACCCUGCAAAACACAUGGCAACUGACAGCUUUGGGUGUGGGAGAGGAGGCGGACAUGUGGGCGCGGUGGUAUCUUUAGGAGUUGCCAUCUACUAAAGACUAGGCAGUUGUCAUGUAGCACUACAAAAAGACAUGGCAAAAUAACAUGUUCGGGUAAAGAGAGAGUUGCCAUCUGCUUACAAGUAUACUAGGGAAGUUGCCACAUACCCUUCAAAACACAUGGCAACUGAUAGCUUUGGGUGUGGGAAAGGAGAUGGGCGUGUGGGAGAACUGAUAAAUGCCCACACACCAGCCCCUCUGCGUGCAUUAAAAACUGGCGUGUGGGCGAACUACUAAACGCCCACACAUCAGCACCUCCGCAUGUGGAAACAGAUGUGUGGGCGACCGGAUGAAUGCCCACACACCAGGCCAAUCCUAUGUGACAUAAAAAUCUGACAAAACAUGCCAAGAUUCGUUCAAACUCAAACCGACGUUGAUCCAUGCAUGUGGGCGAGAUGCAAACGCCCACAUGUGUGGGCAUUAGUAUUUUCGAUGUUUUAUUGUGUUAGAUAAAUUAUUAUAGUCUUAAAAUAGGUAUUAGAUAUCUCAGGCAUGUUCACAUAUGCAUGUUGAGAUGAAUAUUUUUAUAUGCAUGAUUGCAUGUUGUGAUGUGCGUUUUGUCAUGCAUGUUGCUUGAUGAGGUGGUAUGCUUGUAUGUUGAGAGAAAUAUGUUAGUGCUGGCUAUGUUUUAUUAUGUUAGAUUAAUUAUAGUCUUAAAAUAGGUAUUAGAUAUCUCAGGCAUGUUCACAUAUGCAUGUUGAGAUGUAUAUUUUUAUAUGCAUGAUUGCAUGUUGUGAUGUGCCUUUUGUCAUGCAUGUUGCUUGAUGAGGUGGCAGGCUUGCAUGUUGAGAGAAAUAGGUUAGUGUGGGCUAGCUAUUUAGAUACUAGAUGACACCCCGCGCGUUGCGGCGGGAAUUUAUAGAAAGCAACUGUAAUAUGAAAAUCUUAAGGGAAGUAAUCUCAAAAUCUAUAAGAUAACAUAGUUAUAGAAAAAUAUGUAGGUUGAGAAUGACAAACACUAAGACCUCAAAUGCAUGUUUUAUUAAUUUCUACUCACAAUGAGCAAAGUAUUAGCGAGUAGAAACUACCAACUACCUAAGCAUAACAAUAUCAUGCAUGAACUACACAAAUUAGAUGCUACAGUUCCUUCAUAGCAGCCGCGUUUUUUUGUGAGGGAUAGCAGCCGCAUUUGUUGACCAACUAUGAGGAUGCAAGGUAAUAUCAGAGUGAUGCUUCACGGGUAUGCUAAUGCAAGAUUGUUCAGUAAUGUGAGUAACUUCUGCAAUAAUAUGUUAUUGGUCAUCAUUAGAACUAAUGUGGUGAUUUAAGAGAGCUAUCAAGAUUCAAGAGAGGCAAAAGUAUUUACAUUAAUCCUGUCAUAAUUUCUAAAGCUCAAACUAAAGAUUACCAUUUUGAAUAAGGAUGGCAAUUUUACCCGCGGGUACCUGCUACCUCUUGAGCACUGUGUUGGUUUUCCCUUGAAGAGGAAAGGGUGAUGCAGCAAAGUAGUGUAAGUAUUUCCCUUAGUUUUUGAGAACCAAGGUAUCAAUCCAGUAGGAGGCCGCACACAAGUCCCUCGCACCUACACAAAUAAAUAAAUCCUCGCAACCAACGCGAUGAGGGGUUGUCGAUCCCUACACUAUCACUUACGAGAGUGAGAUCUGAUAGAUAUGAUAAGAUAAUAUUUUUGGUAUUUUUAUGAUAAAGAUGCAAAGUAAAAUAAAUGGCAAAGGAAAUAACUAAGUAUUGGAAGAUAUGAUGGAAGAUAGACCCGGGGGCCAUAGGUUUCACUAGUGGCUGAGCAUAAGUAUUUACGGUGGGUGAACAAAUUAUUGUUGAGCAAUUGACAUAAUUGAGCAUAGUUAUGAGAAUAUCUAGGUAUGAUCAUGUAUAUAGGCAUCAUGUCCGAAACAAGUAGACAGACUCCUGCCUGCAUCUACUAUUAUUACUCCACACAUCGACCGCUAUCCAGCAUGCAUCUAGAGUAUUAAGUUCAAGAGAACAGAGUAACGCUUUAAGCAAGAUGACAUGAUGUAGAGGGAUAAACUCAUGCAAUAUGAUAUAAACCCCAUCUUGUUAUCCUCGAUGGCAACAAUACCAUACGUGCCUUGCUGCCCCUACUGUCACUGGGAAAGGACACCGCAAGAUUGAACCCAAAGCUAAGCACGUCUCCCAUUGCAAGAAAGAUCAAUCUAGUAGGCCAAACCAAACUGAUAAUUCGAAGAGACUUGCAAAGAUAACCAAUCAUACAUAAAAGAAUUCAGAGAAGAUUCAAAUAUUGUUAAUAGAUGAACUUGAUCAUAAACCCACAAUUCAUCGGUCUCAACAAACACACCGCAAAAGAAGAUUACAUCGAAUAGAUCUCCACAAGAGAGGGGGAGAACUUUGUAUUGAGAUCCAAAAAGAGAGAAGAAGCCAUCUAGCUAAUAACUAUGGACCCGUAGGUCUGAAGUAAACUACUCACACUUCAUCGGAGAGGCUAUGGUGUUGAUGUAGAAGCCCUCCGUGAUCGAUGCCCCCUCCGNNNNNNNNNNNNNNNNNNNNNNNNNNNNNNNNNNNNNNNNNNNNNNNNNNNNNNNNNNNNNNNNNNNNNNNNNNNNNNNNNNNNNNNNNNNNNNNNNNNNNNNNNNNNNNNNNNNNNNNNNNNNNNNNNNNNNNNNNNNNNNNNNNNNNNNNNNNNNNNNNNNNNNNNNNNNNNNNNNNNNNNNNNNNNNNNNNNNNNNNNNNNNNNNNNNNNNNNNNNNNNNNNNNNNNNNNNNNNNNNNNNNNNNNNNNNNNGCCUUCCUCGUUGAUUGCUUGAUAUAGGGUCCAAGUCCUCUGGAUCAUGUUCGUUCCGAAAAUCACGUUCCCAAAGGUUUCAUUCUGUUUGGACUCCGUUUGAUAUUCCGUUUCUGCGUAACCCUAAAAUAGGCAAAAAACAGCAAUUCUGGGCUGGGCCUCCAAUUAAUACGUUAGUCCCAAAAAUAAUAUAAAAGUGUAUAAUAAAGCCCAAUAAUGUCCAAAACAGAAUAUAAUAUAGCAUUGAACAAUAAAAAAUUAUAGAUACGUUGGAGACGUAUCAAGCAUCCCAAAGCUUAAUUCCUGCUCGUCCUCGAGUAGGUAAAUGAUAAAAACAGAAUUUUUGAUGUGGAAUGCUACUUGGCAUAAUUUCAAUGUAAUUCUGCUUAAUUGUGGUAUGAAUAUUCAGAUCCGAAAGAUUCAAGACAAAAGUUCAAUAUUGACAUAGAAAUAAUAAUACUUCAAGCAUACUAACUAAGCAAUCAUGUCUCUUCAAAAUAACAUGGCCAAAGAAAGUUAUCCCUACAAAAUCAUAUAGUCUGGCUAUGCUCUAUCUUCACCACACAAAGUAUUUAAAUUAUGCACAACCCCGAUGACAAGCCAAGCAAUUGUUUCAUACUUUUGGUGUUCUCAAACUUUUUCAAUCUUCACGCAAUACAUGAGCGUGAGCCAUGGACAUAGCACUUUAGGUGGAAUAGAAUGGUGGUUGUGGAGGAGACAAAAAAGGGGGAAGAUAGUCUCACAUCAACUAGGCGUAUCAAUGGGCUAUGGAGAUGCCCAUCAAUAGAUAUCAAUGUGAGAGAGUAGGGAUUGCCAUGCAACGGAUGCACUAGAGCUAUAAGUAUAUUAAAGCUCAACAAAAGGAACUAAGUGGGUGUGCAUCUAACUCGCUUGCUCACGAAGACCUAGGGCAUUUUGAGGAAGCCCAUCAUUGGAAUAUACAAGCCAAGUUCUAUAAUGAAAAAUUCCCACUAGUAUAUGAAAGCGAUAACAUAGGAGACUCUCUAUUAUGAAGAUCAUGCUGCUACUUUGAAGCACAAGUGUGGUAAAAGGAUAGUAGCAUUGUCCCUUCUAUCUUUUUCUCUCAUAUUUUUUAUUUUAUUUGGGCCUUUUUUAUGGCCUCUUUUUUUAUUUGGGCUUCUUUGGCCUCUUUUUUUCGUCCGGAGUCUCAUCCCGACUUGUGGGGGAAUCAUAGUCUCCAUCAUCCUUUCCUCACUUGGGACAAUGCUCUAAAAAUGAUGAUCAUCACACUUUUAUUUACUUACAACUCAACAAUUACAACUCAAUACUUAGAACAAAAUAUGACUGUAUGUGAAUGCCUCCGGUGGUGUACCGGGAUAUGCAAUGAAUCAAGAGUGACAUGUAUGAAAGAAUUAUGAAUGGUGGCUUUGCCACAAAUAGAAUGUCAACUACAUGAUCAUGAAAGCAAUAUGACAAUGAUGGAGCGUGUCAUAGUAAACGGAACGGUGGAAAGUUGCAUGGCAAUAUAUCUCAGAAUGGCUAUGGAAAUGCCAUGAUAGGUAGGUAUGGUGGUUGUUUGGAGGAAGGUAUAUGGUGGGUGUAUGAUACCGGCGAAAGGUGCGCGGUAUUAGAGAGGCUAGCAAUGGUGGAAGGAAGAAAAGUGUGUAUGAUCUAUGGACUCAACCUUAGUCAUAAAGAACUCAUAUACUUAUUGCAAAAAUAUACAAGUUAUCGAAGCAAAGUACUACGCGCAUGCUCCUAGGGGGAUAGAUUGGUAGGAAAAGACCAUCGCUCGUCCCCGACCGCCACUCAUAAGGAAGACAAUCAAUAAAUAAAUCAUGCUCCGACUUCACAUAACGGUUCACCAUACGUGCAUGCUACGGGAAUCACAAACUUUAACACAAGUAUUUCUCAAAUUCACAACUACUCAACUAGCAUGAUGAUACGUCUCCAACGUAUCUAUAAUUUUUGAUUGCCCCAAGCUAUAUUAUCUACUAUUUUGGACAUUAUUGGGCUUUACUAUCCAAUUUUAUAUUAUUUUUGGGACUAACCUAUUAACCGGAGGCCCGGCCUAGAAUUGCUGUUUUUUGCCUGUUUUAGGGUUUCAAAGAAAAGGAAUAUCAAACGGAGUCCAAACGGAAUCAAACCUUCGGGAACGUGAUUUUCUCAACGAACAAGACCCAGGAGACUUGGACCAUACGUCAAGACACAAAAGAGGAGGGCACGAGGUAGGGGCGCGCCUACCCCCCCGGGCGCGCCCUCCACCCUCGUGGGCCCCCUGUUUCUCCACUGACGUACUCAUUCCUCCUAUAUAAACCUACGCACCCCCAAACGAUCAGAUACGGAGCCAAAACCCUAAUUCCACCGCCGCAACUUUCUGUAUCCAUGAGAUCCCAUCUUGGGGCCUGUUCCGAAGCUCUGCCGGAGGGGGCAUCAAUCACGGAGGGCUUCUGACAUCAACACCAUAGCCCCUCCGAUGAAGUGUGAGUAGUUCACCUCAGACCUACGGGUCCAUAGUUAGUAGCUACAUGGCUUCUUCUCUCUUUUUGGAUCUCAAUACAAUGUUCUCCCCCUCUCUUAUGGAGAACUAUUCGAUGUAAUCUUCUUUUUGCGGUGUGUUUGUUGACACCGAUGAAUUGUGGGUUUAUGAUCAAGUCUAUCUAUGAACAAUAUUUGAAUCUUCUCUGAAUUCUUUUAUGAAUGAUUGUUUAUCUUUGCAAGUCUCUUCGAAUUAUCAGUUUGGUUUGGCCUACUAGAUUGAUGUUUCUUGCAAUGGGAGAAGUGCUUAGCUUUGGGUUCAAUCUUGCGGUGUCCUUUCCCAGUGACAGUAGGGGCAACAAGGCACGUAUUGUAUUGUUGCCAUCGAGGAUAACAAGAUGGGGUUUUCAUCAUAUUGCAUUAGUUUAUCCCUCUACAUCAUGUCAUCUUGCUUAAGGCAUUACUCUGUUUUCAUUAACUUAAUACUCUAGAUGCAUGCUGGAUGGCGGUCGAUGAGUGGAGUAAUAGUAGUAGAUGCAGGCAGGAGUCGGUCUACUUGUCUCGGGCGUGAUGCCUAUAUACAUGAUCAUGCCUAGAUAUUCUCAUAACUAUGCUCAAUUCUGUCAAUUGCUCAACAGUAAUUUGUUCACCCACCGUAGAAUACUUAUGCUCUCGAGAGAAGCCACUAGUGAAACCUAUGGCCCAUGGGUCUAUCUUCAUCAUAUUAAUCUCCUACUACUUAGUUAUUUCCUUUGCUUUUUUACUUUGCUUUUAUUUUACUUUGCAUCUUUAUCAUAAAAAUACCAAAAAUAUUAUCUUAUCAUAUCUAUCAGAUCUCACUCUCGUAAGUGACUGUGUAGGGAUUGACAACCCCUUAUCGCGUUGGUUGCGAGGAUUUAUUUGUUUUGUGCAGGUACGAUGGACUGGCGCGUAGCCUCCUACUGGAUUGAUACCUUGGUUCUCAAAAACUGAGGGAAAUACUUACGCUACUUUGCUGCAUCAUCCCUUUCUCUUCGGGAAAACCAACGCAGUGCUCAAGAGGUAGCACAUGACUCUAAUAUUACCAUCUCCAUAUCUCAAAACAAUUAUCAAGUAUCAAACUUCUCAUAGUACUCAACACACUCAUAAGAAAACUUUUAUUAAUCUUGAAUGCCUAACAUAAUUAAAGCAAAUUACCAUGCUUUUUUGUAGGACUCUCAAAAUAAUCUAAGUGAAGCAUGAGAGAACAAUAGUUUCUAUAAAGCAAAUCCACCAACGUGCUCUAAAAGAUAUAAGUGAAGCACUAGAGAAAAAACUAUAUAACUCAAAAGAUAUAAGUGAAGCACAUAGAGUAUUCUAACAAUUUCCGAAUCAUGUGUGUCUCUCUCAAAAGGUGUGUACAGCAAGGAUGAUUGUGGAAAACUAACAAAUAAAUACUCAAAUAAUACAAGACGCUCCAAGCAAAACACAUAUCAUGUGGUAAAUAAAAAUAUAGCUCCAAGUAAAGUUACCGAUGGAAGUAGACGAAAGAGGGGAUGCCUUCUGGGGCAUCCCCAAGCUUUGGCUUUUAGGUGUCCUUAGAUUAUCUUGCGGUGCCAUGGGAAUCCGCAAGCUUAGGCUCUUUCCACUCCUUAUUCCAUAAUCCAUCAAAUCUUUUACCCAAAACUUGAAAACUUCACAACACAAAACUUAAAGUAGAAAAUCUCGUGAGCUCCGUUAGCGAAAGAAAACAAAACACCACUUCAAGGUACUGUAAUGAACUCAUUUUUUAUUUAUAUUGGUGUUAAACCUACUGUGUUCCAACUUCUCUAUGGUUUAUAAACUAUUUUACUAGCCAUAGAUUCAUCAAAAUAAGCAAACAACACACGAAAAACAGAAUCUGUCAAAAACAGAACAGUAUUUAGUAAUCUGUAGCUAAUGCAAGCUCUGGAACCCCAAAAAUUAUAACAUAAAUUUAUUGACGUGAGUAAUUUAUCUAUUAAUCAUCUGUGGAAAGAAUUAACUAAAUAGCACUUUCCAAAUAAAAAUGGCAGCACUUCUCGUGAGCCCUAACGUUUCUGUUUUUUACAGCAAGAUUAAAAAGACUUUCCCCAAGUCAUCCCAACGGUUCUACUUGGCACAAACACUAAUUAAACACAAAAAACACAACCCAAACAGAGGCUAGAUAAAUUAUUUAUUACUAAACAGGAGCAAAAAUAAAGGAAUAAAAAUAAAAUUGGGUUGCCUCCCAACAAGCGCUAUCGUUUAACGCCCCUAGCUAGGCAUAAAAGCAAGGAUAGAUCUAGGUAUCUUUAUAUUAGUUGGUAAUUAUUUAUUGAGACAUCUAUCACCUUUAGGAGUUUCUUUCCUUUUAUCAAUAAUCAAACUUCUAGGCACAAUAUCGAAAAAAUCAUCAGUAGCAAAUGGUUCCUUAAUGAUAGCAAAAAGAUUAGGAUGAAUACUUAUAGAUUUGAGAUCCGCAGUUUCUUUGCUAGAGGAUUCACCCUUAUUUUUAGGAACAUACAUAAGCUUGGCAAUUUUAGUUGGAGGACUUGGAGGAGAAGAAAAAGCGGUUCUGUAACACCCUCGAUGCGUCUAUAUCUCCUACGUGUCGAAGCACGACUUAGAGGCAUAACCGCAUUGAAAGCAAUGUCGCAUGUUGGUGAGGUAAUGCCUCUAAGUUGUGCUUCGACACGUGGGAGAUAUAGCCGCAUCGAGGGCGUUAUAGGUUCCCAAGUUGGUAAUGAUACCCUCAAGUUUAUCGAUUCUAGUGGAAUCAUGAUUUGUUCUUUCAUUAACUAUAGGUUCCUUCUCUUUAAUAUUUUUCAAAGUUACUCCUACUUUAGAUCCAUAUUGGGUAAUUUGGUUGUGGAUCUUUUUAUCGAAAUUUUCAAUUAACUCAAUGGUAGCAACUUUAUUUUCAAUAAUUUCAAGUUUUUGCAUUACAUGCUGCAAAGUUAACAUGGUUCCAUUAAUGAAAAGAGGGGGUGAGCCAAACAAAUCUAUCAUAUCAUUAUAGGAAUCGAAAGUGUGGCUACCCAAGAAAUUCCCUCCGGCAAUGGUAUCAAGGACAAAUCUGUGCCAAGGAAUAGCACCUACAUAAAAAUUGCGGAGCAGAAUAGAAGUAGAUUUCUUCCUGGUAGAUCUAUUUUGAGCAUUGCAAAUUCUAUACCAAGCGUCUUUUAGGUUUUCUCCUUCCCUUUGCUUAAAAUUAAGAACUUCAUUUUCGGGAGACAACGGAGAAGAUAGGGGACUAGCCAUAAUGACAAGCAAGCAAUCCAACACACAAGCGAACAAGAAACGGGCAAAAAGAGGCAAAUAGAGAAAGAGAGGGAGGACGGAGAGAGAGAGAGAGGGCGAAUAAAACGGCAAGGGUGAAGUGGGGGAGAGGAAAACGAGAGGCAGAUGGCAAAUAAUGUAAUGCGGGAGAUAAAGUUUGUGAUGGGUACUUGGUAUGUCUUGACUUGCAAUGGUGCCACAAGUGACUCGUUGUCGGGAGUAAAAUCUUGACUUGUCUUGCGCGAACCUCCCCGGCAAUGGCGCCAGAAAUCCUUCUUCCUACCUCUUAAGCACUGCGUUGGUUUUCCCUUGAAGAGGAAAGGGUGAUGCAUCAAAGUAGCGUAAGUAUUUCCCUCAGUUUUUGAGAACCAAGGUAUCAAUCCAGUAGGAGGCCGCACACAAGUCCCUCGCACCUACACAAACAAAUAGAUCCUCGCAACCAACACGAUAAGGGGUUGUCAAUCCCUACACGGUCACUUACGAGAGUGAGAUCUGAUAGAUAUGAUAAGAUAAUAUUUUUGGUAUUUUUAUGAUAAAGAUGCAAAGUAAAAUAAAUGGCAAAGGAAAUAACUAAGUAUUGGAAGAAUAAUAUGAUGGAAGAUAGACCCGGGGGCCAUAGGUUUCACUAGUGGCUUCUCUCAAGAGCAUAAGUAUUUAUGGUGGGUGAACAAAUUACUGUUGAGCAAUUGACAGAAUUGAGCAUAGUUAUGAGAAUAUCUAGGCAUGAUCAUGUAUAUAGGCAUCACGCCCGAGACAAGUAGACCGACUCCUGCCUGCAUCUACUACUAUUACUCCACUCAUCGACCGCCAUCCAGCAUGCAUCUAGAGUAUUAAGUUAAUGAAAACAGAGUAAUGCCUUAAGCAAGAUGACAUGAUGUAGAGGGAUAAACUAAUGCAAUAUGAUGAAAACCCCAUCUUGUUAUCCUCGAUGGCAACAAUACAAUACGUGCCUUGUUGCCCCUACUGUCACUGGGAAAGGACACCGCAAGAUUGAACCCAAAGCUAAGCACUUCUCCCAUUGCAAGAAACAUCAAUCUAGUAGGCCAAACCAAACUGAUAAUUCGAAGAGACUUGCAAAGAUAAACAAUCAUUCAUAAAAGAAUUCAGAGAAGAUUCAAAUAUUGUUCAUAGAUAAACUUGAUCAUAAACCCACAAUUCAUCGGUCUCAACAAACACACCGUGUUGAGGAUAUAACCUCUGAGGGUAAACCGCCCAGGAGGGGCCGGUUCACCUUCAGCUAUACUGAAGCCCAAGGAAACCCAGAAGAUGGUGCUUUACAGAUGAAGUUUAGAGGCCCAGAGCCCACAGGCGAUUUAGGGCCCAUGAUAGUAAACCGCCAUGAUUGUAUAAACUUGCAUUGUAAGAUAAGAAAGAAGAGACCGAGGUAGACACUUGUAUGAGCCAGCCUCGGGACUCUGUAGACCGGCCGGGGUCCUCCUGAGUAUAUAAAGGGGUGACCCGGCGGCGGUUUAGGGAGAGAGAACAACAACUCGAAGCCAGACAAAGCAGAUUCGCUCCCCGGCCUUCGAAACCCCAGCAAUACCAAUCACAACUACACAUAGGCUUUUACCUUCAUCGAAGGGGCCGAACUAGUAUAAAACUCACGUGUCCCCUUGUCCGGUUUAACCCCUUCAAGCUAACCCGUAGCGAUGGCUCCACGACUAAGUCCUUUCAUGAGGACAUCUGCCGUGACAAUUCCAUGACAGUUGGCGCCCACAGUGGCGCUAUCGCACGGUGGUUUGGAGUUCUUGAAGGGCAGCUUCGAUGGACUCAAGGGAUACGCCGUGGGACGGAUGAUGAAAAGUCACCAUGGAAAGCUCUACAUUGACAAUGUACGAUGGGGUCCCGAGGCUGAUUCAAUCGAAUACGGGUCCGGGUCCCCUUUUGUGGGAUUCACGUCUUCAUCGGCAAGAUCGGUGAACCGGCCCCCGAGCCGGGCACCUGCACCGACAUCAUCGAAACGGCUCGGCGUGCAAGUUCUUCACCGGUUCAGCCUGAGGCAGGGCAUGUUUUCAUAGGUGUCGUCCAUGGUUCAGGGUAUGAGGAGGAACUGGUCUCCGACAAAGAAACCAUAGUCCGCAGCGGUGACGAGUCUUCUGGAGAAACCGAAUCGCUUUACCAGUUGCAGGACGACCGGAUUGAGGAAGGAUUCGAGGGCAACAGUAUUCCGGAUUCCCCCGGUCUGCCAAACCGGGCCGCCGUCUUCAUGGCCGGCACACGACCAGCGCCACAUUCAUCUACCGCCGCAACAAUGCUCUCCGGUUCAAUGAUGGCCACGCCAGCAGGGGCAGGAAGCUCGGCGCCGCCUCCGGCCCAAGUCUUGUCUGAUUUGUUUGACGCUCUAGCGGCACUGAUGUCUGCGGAGGUAGACGCAGCAGCCAGGGAUCAGCACGAUGCGGAGAUUCUAAAGGUGAAAGAUCAGAUAGCCCAGGCUAAAGCGGACCUGGCAGCAGAGAAUGCUAGGACGGCCAUAGAGCGGGCCGAGUUGGAAGCACAUGCUUAUCGGAUUAGACUGGAUCAGAAUGCUUCAGAAGAGGUCAUGAGAAGAAGGUACCGAUCACGUCUCCUGUUGGUUUAUGAGCCGCAGAAUCUUUUCGACACGCUAGGUGCAGGAGCUGGUAACCAACCCGCGCCAAACCGGGCGGGGGUACCGGAAGCAGGAGCACCGGUUCAGCCACGCGCAACAAACCUGCCUCGCCAGAACAAUGUUGUAUCAUCAACGCCGCCCGGGCAUUAUUCCAACCUGUUGGAUAAUAUUGUGGCCGCCGCUUCGCGUCUGGCGGCUCUCCCAACCGACGGCGAAUCACCAGUUGCAGUGGAAGCAUGUCGGGCCAGGGAUCUCCUUCAGACAGCACUGAAUCAACAGCAAGCAUAUUCACACAGCCGUGAGAGGAUUCAUUCCACUCCCUGUCCAAGCCGGAGUUACAGCAGACACGUGGAAGACGAACCGGCCGUGUCCAGUAGUGCGCGCCACCGAGAUUCGCCACGGGGGAACAACCCGACCGGGGGAGGUGCUAAUGCGCAAGAUGUUGUGGACCACGGCCGCGCACGACGGGAGGCCGAGUUGACAGCUCAACAUGAAGCACGGCAACAUACUCCGGUUCACCCCACUGCCUCCGUGGAGCCAGGGGUAAUGUUCAGUUCCCUAGGGGUACCAUGUUUAACUCCCGCAUUGCAUAAUGUGCGAUUGCCCAAGGAUUUCAAGGGACCCCGUAAGGUACCAAAUUACACCGCCGAUUUGUAGCCAGAGGCGUGGGUGGAGAGCUAUGAGAUGGCAAUGGAGAUGUUAGAUGUGGAUGAGGUGGUAUGUGCUAAAUAUUUCACCAUGAUGCUCGAAGGAACAGCUCGCACUUGGUUGAAGAGCUUGCCAACCAACUCUAUCGAUUCAUGGGCCGAAUUAAAGCACCGGUUUAUCCAGAACUUCAAGGAUACGUGCAAGCAGCCGAUGUCAAUUGUAGAUCUGGCCGCUUGUGUCCAAGAGGAAGGGGAGUCCAUGACCCAUUGGGUUAAACGGGUCUCGACGAUUUUUCAUUCAUCAGAUCGUAUUAAUGCAGACACCGGAGUAUUAAUGUUAGAGGGCAAUUGCCGUUUCAAACCCUUGAAACAGAAGUUGGGAAGGCUCAAACGUCAUUGCAACGACAUGUCAACGCUCAUGGCCGCUUUAGUUAAGUAUGCUGAUUCAGAUAAUACCAAGGAUCCAGAUUCAGAGGAGGACAAACCGGAGAAGGGAAAGAAGAACGACGGUGCAAAAGGGCAGCACCACAACCAAGGGGGCCAUGGGAAUAACAGUAAGCGUAAAGCAGAUAAUUCAGAUUUGGUGGCUAACACAAAUAUGCAGCGUCGCAAAGGUAAACCGCCCCAGCGCGGUGGAGGGAUGAAUCUGGAGCGUUUGUUAAACCAGCCCUGCCCGAAGCAUGGAACCAAGGAGGCCCCUUCCACACAUCUUUGGAAGGAUUGUCACAUAAUGAGGGAGUUCAAAAAUUCUGAUUUAUACCGGUAUGAUCAGGAUCCACCGGGCGGUUCAGGCCCAGGUUUCCAUGGGGCCGGCGGUUCAAGCUCUGGAUUUCAGAACAACCAGGGCCAUCAGAACAACCAUGGUAAUAACCAGCAGAAUAACCAAGGGAAUCAGCAACAGUCAGGUUACCAGAGUCACCCCAAACAGUUGAACAGCGGACAGUAUCAUGUGUUCACUACUAGCCUGUGCAAGCGGGAUCAGAAACUUCACAAGAGGGCAGUCAAUACUGUUGAAUUGGCCGUACCACAUUAUCUAUGAUGGUCGGAGCAACCCAUUGUAUGGAGCAGAGAGGAUCACCCGCCCCGGGUUGACAAUUCGGGUCAACUAGCUUUGUGAUAGCCCCUCAGGUGGGGGGCUAUAAGUUUACCAAGGUUCUGAUGGAUGGAGGGAGCAGUAUCAACAUCCUGUACUAUGAGACUUCCCGUCGCAUGGGAUUGACAGAUAAGAGUCUUAAACCGUCAAACACUAUUUUUCAUGGUGUAGUACCAGGUAAAUCGGCAUACCCUAUGGGAAAGAUCACUUUGGAAGUCGUGUUUGGAGAUGAGCUUGAUUCUAGGUCUGAGACGUUGACCUUUGAGGUGGUGAAAAUCCAGAGUCCAUAUCACGCACUAUUUGGACGGCCGGCUUACACGAAGUUCAUGGCGAGACCCUGUUAUGUUUAUCUACAGCUCAAAAUGCCGGGUUAUAAGGGGACGAUCACAGUGCAUGGGAGUCGAAAGAUUGCCUUGGAUUGCGAGGAAGGUGAAGCAGCCUAUGCUGAAUCGGUUUGUGCAACAGAGGAGCUGAAAUUCUAUAAAGACAAUGUUGAUCCGGCGGACAUGACCCCUCUGAAGAAACCUACGACUGAGCAUGACCCGGCCCUGACGUUCAAACCGGCUAAUGAGACUAAACUCGUUGACUUCGUCCCUGGCGAUUCAUCCAAGCAGUUUAGUAUCAGUGCAAAUCUGGAUCCGAAAUAGGAAAGCGCGCUCAUCGAGUUCAUCCGUGAGAACCGGGACAUCUUUGCAUGGAAACCUUCUGAUAUGCCAGGUGUACCGAGGGAACUCGCUGAGCACACUCUAAAUAUUGAUCCUAAGUUUAAACCGGUCAAGCAGUACCUUCACCGUUUUAACGAAGAAAGACGCAAGGCCAUCGGCGAAGAGGUAGCCCGGCUACUGGCAGCUGGGUUUAUUGUCGAAGUGUUUCAUCCCGAAUGGUUGGCUAAUCCGGUGCUUGUUCUUAAGAAAAAUGGCACUUGGCGUAUGUGUGUGGACUACACUGAUUUGAAUAAAGCUUUCCUGGCAGAUCCUUUUGCUCUCCCGCGUAUUGAUCAGAUCAUUGAUGCAACUGUGGGUUGUGAGAGCCUGUGUUUCCUGGAUGCUUAUUCAGGUUAUCAUCAGAUUAAAAUGGCAGUUAAGGACCAGGAUAAGACAGCCUUCAUCACCCCCUUUGGAGCCUUCUGCUAUGUUUCUAUGCCCUUUGGGCUUAAGAGUGCCCAAGCAACCUACCAGCGUUGUGUGCAAAAUUGUCUUCACAAGCAGAUCGGGUGUAAUGUUCAUGCUUAUGUGGAUGAUAUUGUGGUGAAGUCCAGGAAGCAGGAAACACUGAUAAAUGAUCUCAAGGAAACGCUCGACAAUCUUCGGGUUUAUAAAAUGAUGCUCAACCCGGACAAAUGCGUUUUUGGUGUCCUAGCAGGCAAACUCUUGGGUUUUCUUGUGUCUAACAGAGGUAUUGAGGCAAAUCUGGAAAAGAUCAAAGCAAUCACAUCCUUGGCUAAACCGGCGUGUAUCAAUGAUGUUCAGCGUCUGGCGGGCCGGAUUGCAGCCCUCAGCCGAUUUAUCAGCCGUUUGGGAGAGAAGGCGAUUCCCAUGUAUCAGAUGUUGAAGAAAACAGAUAAAUUCGUCUAGAGUGACGCCGCCAAUGCGGCAUUCGAGGAAUUGAAGCGGCAGCUAGCUGGACCGCCAGUCCUCGCUGCUCCAGUUGAUAAUGAACCUCUAUUAUUGUAUGUGGCUGCCAAUGCCCGAGCGGUCAGUGUGGCGAUUGUGGUUGAGCGUAAGGAGGCCGAAAAAGAAUAUCCGGUUCAACGACCAGUUUAUUAUAUCAGUGAAGUACUGAUCAAAUCAAAGCAAAGAUAUCCGCAUUUGGCAGAAGCUAGUGUAUGGAGUUUUUAUGGCAAGUAGGAAACUCAAGCAAUAUUUUCAAGGCCAUCCUAUUACAGUGGUUAGUUCUGCUCCCUUGGGCGAUAUAAUCCAGAAUAGAGAGGCAACUGACCGGGUUGCGAAGUGGGCGAUCAAGCUUGGUCCCCAUGGUUUGAAGUAUACACCCCGAACAGCCAUCAAAUCUCAGGCGCUUGUGGACUUCAUCAAUGAUUGGACCGAGUUACAGGCACCAAAAGACAAACCAGAUAAUACAUACUGGACCAUUCAGUUUGAUGGCUCCAGGCAGCUGGAAGGCUCGGGGGCUGGAGUUGUCCUCACUUCCCCUCGAGGAGAUAAGAUUUGUUAUGUUCUCCGCUUAAUGUUUCCUUGUACUAACAAUGCAGCGGAGUAUGAGGCCUUGCUCCACGGCCUUCAUAUAGCUAAGGAAAUGAACUUAAGCCGGGUUCAAUGUUUUGGAGAUUCUGAUCUGGUGGCUCAGCAAGUUUCUAGUACUUGGGAUUCUAAGGACCCGCUCAUGGCGGCUUAUAGGCGCGAGGUGGAUAUUGUGGCAGGUCACUUUAAGGGUUAUCAGGUGGAGCACAUCGACCGAUGCAAGAAUGAAGCAGCAGAUGCUCUAAGCCGGCUGGGAUCUCAGCGUAAGCCGGUACCACCUAAUACCUUUCUAGAUAUCUUGCA